rnacentral:lncRNA from 1 species
GAGCUGCUCAUACCUGGCCUCGACCGACCAAACCUCCCGCAUCAGACAUCAUCCUACGGCUCCCAGCCCACGCCACAACCGAAUCCAAGGCAAUGGAAUGGCGGUGGCUGGCGGCACCGUAGCAGCGCUGGGGAACUGAGGCGGCAACGAGAGCUCGGCUGAUUCGGUUUAGGAUUUACUGGUGUGAACUCUAGGCGCGCGCGCGCACAGAGUGAGCGAGUGUGUGUGAGAGUCUGAGAGAGAGAGAGAGAGAGAGAGAGAGAGAGAGAGAGUGAGAGAGAGAGGGAGAUGGGGGGACCGUACCGGAUCCAAAGCGAAACGCAGCCAAGCUGCGAGAAAUCCAUCGACGGCGGCUCAGAUCCCGCGCCGGCCAGACCAGGCCCUUGACCGGAGCACCGCUCGGUCCCCAGCCCGCACGGCCGCGGACGCCCCCCGCAUCGGCGGCAGCCCCGAGGGGCCUCCAAGCCGAUGCGCGACGGCGCGGCGAGGGGGGCUGGCCCCGAGGAGCGGCGGCCCGGCGCGACCGCCGCCCGGAGCCUGGCCGUCGCCGGCGGCUCCCUCCAUCAUCGCCGCCGUCCGGGGAGGGAAGCGGUCAUCGGCCACGGCGAGAGGGGCGGGCACGGCGGCAGGAUUCGGUCAGACAUGGUUAGAGCGCUCGCAUUGCAUGCUCCGCCGCCGGUGGCCUCUCGCACCAGGACUGGUCCGAGCCAGAUCCGGGAAUGGAUGGAGGGGAAGGGGAAUGAGAGCGGGGGUGCAGAUGAGGGGAGGGAAGAAGCCACCUUCAGCCGUUGCUUGGGGGAGGACACACGGAGUGCCGACUAGCGCACUAGAGUUAGACCCAGUGAACGUGUCCUCUUGUGUGCAUUUUCUCGGGGUCUCUUCUCAACCAAACAUAAAAAAAUACUCAUAUGAAUCUCGGCGUAAAAUCAAUGACAAAGAUACAUUUGAUGUGCAAUGCUUAAGAUAGACUUAGACGUUGUUUAGCAAAACAGUUUUCUCAGGUCGUCGCGGUUAAGACAUUGUUUAACUUAGGCCAACCUCAACGCCGGCGCCCCAACGGACGCGGAUGUUGUCCUUUUUUUUAUGUUUGGAUUGGCUAGGCAAACGCUCAAUGUCUGAUUUUUUUUUCCGCCGGACCAUAGAUCAGCCCAACGCGGACGGAGAGAUUUCGGAAUUAUAAAAAAUAAAAACAACAAAUAAAAUAAUAAAAUAGCCACCAACAGUCCAGUUUACAUUAAAUAAAAAUAUUGAAAAUGAAAACAUGCGUGCGGUGGCGACGGCGGCGUCCUUCUCGGUCAAGUCGACAUACACCGGUGCAUCGAUCCACGGAAAGCCGCCUAGGAGGCUGCCAGUGCCGCGCUGCAUCUGUCGCCGCCUGCUGGACCGGCUGAGUGUCGUGCACCCGUGUGCCGCCUGCCGCUUGGCUGCCAAGGCGCAUGUCUCGGCCUCGUACAGGUGUCGUUGCUUCUCCUCUUCAUCGCGCACAGCCAAACAGGCGUGCACGACGUAGAAGGGCACCAUGCUCGCCCAUGAAAUCGAACGCCACAACACUCCAUGAGCACAGGCGAUGCUUGUGGGUGUGGCCACGGGGAAAAUAUCUGGUAUUCCCACACCUAGGGUGCUCCCGGUGCUUCAAAACUCUAUAGCACGUUUCUAAAUGUUCGAAAAAAUCUGAAAAAAAAUCUAGCACAUUGACGCAACAUCAAAGUAUGUUGUCAAAAAAUUUGAAAUCAAAAUUCAAAACAUAGCUUGAGAAACAUAAAUGACAAAUUCGACAGUAAAUAGUAUGCAACUUAAGUUGGGCUUUAGAGUAGGCCCAUUACCACAUUGAUGUCUAUUUUGUCAUUUUUGUAUCUCGAGCAAUGUUUCGAAAUUUGAUUUGAUUUUUCUUAACAACAUACAUUGAUGUUGUGUCAAUGUGCUAGUUUUUUUCAGAAUUUUUUUAACACUUUAAAAUGUGCUACCGAGUUUGGAGCACCGGGAGCACCCUAGGGAUGGGAGUACUACAUAUUUCCCCUGUGGCCACGGCGCGUUAGUCUCCACGCCCGUUGUUUAAGUAAUUAAUGUUGAACCUUAUACUCCCACUAUUCCUUAAUAUAGUGCAUAUAUAUUAUCUUAAAAGUUUACAGAGAAUAGAAUACUUUAUAUAAUGAGAUGGACAAUUUCAUAUUGUAUGUAUGUGAUAUUGUAGCUAUAGAUAAUUUCGCCCAUAAAUUUGGUCAGACUUGACUCCUAAAAUAAUUUGUAUACACUACACUAUGAAACGGAGAAGUAUUAAGCCUAACACCUUACAAACUCAGAGCACUUCUACCAUCGAUCAGGACAAAGCCCACUUCAAAGUUAUUGAUCCUAGGCUCCAUGAUCAGCGGGCAUCGUUGUGGCUCGAUGAGAAUUUUGGGGGCCAUUGCUUUGGUUGAAGAUGGUGAUUUACACCUUCCACAAGGACCGGACAUGAAGCACGAGAUGUGAUGUGUUCUCAUGCUAAUACUUUCGCUUUAUGUAUUUUCAACUUGUCUCACUCACUCUCAUCGGUGUUAUUAAGCCAACCAUUUCAUCUCAAGACUCAAUCUACAUGUGCCUAUCAUGUACCCCAACAAACGAGCAUAAAACCCCACUGAACCAGCCUAGACAAAGAUUACACCAACGAGCGACGAGUCGGCCCACUGCAUGAAAUGCAGAAGAAGAGAACUGGUUUGGUGGGGGUAUGCCCAGAUUUGGGAGCAUACUCCAACCAUGGAAAUACCAGAUUUGGUCUAGAUGCGUACAAGAUUAAUAGAUGGGCAGCGGAGCACAACACAAAGAAAAUUGGUGGACCAAUAUGUCAAGGCCCAAUACUGCAAACCGGAAGGCCAUGGCUUCAUGAACAAUGCUCGUCUCUUCGGCUAUUUGGAACUGAGAGAAAUUCUAGUGUUUAGGAAGAAAUCCACUAACAUUGUCAUGCUCAUCCACCUCUUCCACAUUCUCAAGCUCAUCCAGGACGAGUCAAGGCUUUUUGAUCACGGCGGGAGGUAGGCAUCUGAGCAUCAUCAUGCCACACAUUUUUGUGUUGGUAGGUGUAUACUAUCUCUAUUGGGCUAUGAUGUGGAGCCAAAAUGUACUUUGAACACCCCUCUCUCCCUCUCUAAUUAAGAAUGAGGCAAAUCUUUUGCCUUGGUUUUAAAAAUAAUAAUUAUUUCCUGGGCAUUAUCUAUGUGUGUAUAGCAACAAUGAACAUGUAUAUGGUGAGAAAAUAGUCAAGAAUAUCAACAUAAGCAAAAUCCAGGGACAGCUGUAGUUAUCGCAAAGAGAAAUACACCCUGUGUACUAAAUGUAAGACGUUAAUAGGCCAUUAAAUUCUAGCUCUGCCUAAGCCGGCAAUCUGGCCCAUGCAUAAAGCCAAGCCACUAAUCCGGCCCAUGCAUAAAGCCAAGCCACUAAUCCGGCCCAUGCAUAAAGCCAAGCCACUGACAUUAGCUAUCAAAAUUUCAUUCCAAGCCAUGACAAUUAAUAUUCUCACCAUCUUAAUGCUCAUAUGCACUCACACUCGCAUCCAAAUGUGACAAGCAUGUUACCAGAUUGACCAUACAAAUUACAGCACCACCAACACUUGUAUAUAUUGACUUGAACAGGCAUCAGUACAGAGAAGGGCGAACAUACAAAAAAGCUUCAUUACUGCUCCAAGGCAUACUUAUUAUUACCUUACCAGAAAGCAUCAUCAGAACUCAUCAGGCUUGAAGUAUUUCAUGGCGGUACAUCAUACUCUUGUAGCUUGUGAUUAUCUAAUAUCAAGAUCUCUAGGCGGCCAAUUUUAUUCCUAUACGUUUCAUGAAAAUUAUGUCGUUAAAGUAGUAUUUCAAAAGUUGCCCACUGAAGGAAUUAACCACAUAGGAGAUCAAGAUGUAGAGUACACUGAAGUUCAAAUCACAUAUUACUGGAAAUAUCAACAGUGCAUAGAAAGAGGGCAACAAACAAGAGGCAAACGUAGAAAUAGGGGAGGAGUGGUGCGGAUUAGGCUGCAACCCUGUGGGCCCUGGGAGUAAGCAUGUAGGCACGCCAAUAUCCAACACAUUCAUAUGGGCAAAACCCACUCUAUAUCCGAUACACUUGGUGAUCUGCAUUGCAGAUGCCCUUACACCCCCGUGUGACACACUAGUAGGAAAAGGGGCUUUUACCCCGGUUCAUAAGGGCCUUUAGUCCCGGUUCAGGAACCGGGACUAAAGGGUCGUUACUAAUGCCCUAGCCCUUUAGUCCCGGUUCUUACACGAACCGGGACUAAAGGCCGUCCACGUGGCCGGUGCGGGGAGCCCAGGCAGGAGGGCCUUUGGUCCCGGUUGGUGCCACCAACCGGGACCAAUAGGCAUCCACGCGUCAGCACCUGGNNNNNNNNNNNNNNNNNNNNNNNNNNNNNNNNNNNNNNNNNNNNNNNNNNNNNNNNNNNNNNNNNNNNNNNNNNNNNNNNNNNNNNNNNNNNNNNNNNNNNNNNNNNNNNNNNNNNNNNNNNNNNNNNNNNNNNNNNNNNNNNNNNNNNNNNNNNNNNNNNNNNNNNNNNNNNNNNNNNNNNNNNNNNNNNNNNNNNNNNNNNNNNNNNNNNNNNNNNNNNNNNNNNNNNNNNNNNNNNNNNNNNNNNNNNNNNNNNNNNNNNNNNNNNNNNNNNNNNNNNNNNNNNNNNNNNNNNNNNNNNNNNNNNNNNNNNNNNNNNNNNNNNNNNNGGGGGGUUUGGGGGUUUUGGGGGGUUAAUUUAGGUUGUUAUUAGGUAGCUAUUAGAGAGAAGUGUCCUCUCUUAUAUCUCCGUGCUUGGUUUACCAACGCUACGUACUGCUAUGCCUAAACAUGGCUUAGAUUGAAGUGAAGGCAACAUGUGGUGCAUGUCGAAAGUAAUACUAAUCCGGACUUGAUCAAGUUUGGAUUGUACUACUUUCGACACGCACCACAUGCAUGUUGCCUUCACUUCAAUUCAAUCCAUGUUCAUUUCACCCGCUGAUAUAUAAUAACUCUUCAUGCACGCAUCAUGCAUCAUCAUAUAUAAUAACAAGUCCUACUAAUCAUCAUCAUACAACUUCUACUCGUUAUUAAUAACAAGUCAUACGAUCGAUCAUCAUCCUCACAGUCAUCGAACCAACCCUACUUAAUUGUUCUUAGCACAUGAUCAUCAGUAUUAGGUAGGACCGAAAUACCCUCUUUAAGGUAAAAUAGCAUAAAACAAUAUAGACCCUGACUCUCCAUUAUGGAGAAUGGAGAUCAUCCUGUCUCCAAUUCUUGCGCCUCGCUUCCUUUUGCUUCCAAGAAGCUCCUUGCGACUGUCCAUACAUUUUUUCCAUUCUUUGAUUUGCAUGUCUCCACUUCUUUUAGAAAUCCGGUAUGUACAGUUGAGAUUCGUAGGAUGACCUAGUUGUAUAUUCAAAACAUCAAGCCUACCAUUCUGAUACAUCAAAUGAGGCACACAAUCCUCUGGGAUUAUCUGUUGAAAAACAUAGUAAUAACUUCAUAGUUAGCAAUGAUAAUGCACUAGUUUUAGAACUAUGCAAAAUAUGCACGGAUGUCGUAAUAGUAAGAAAUCUUACCAGGGUAUCUCCAUAGUAGUUACCGUAGUUCACCACGUGCACUAGUGGCAGGUAUGGAGGACCAUAAUGAUGAGGAGUUUGAUUGUAGAUAUUGUAAUUCUCAAUAUCAGUACAAAAUCCGACCAGAUGAGUUUUCUCCUUAUAAGUUAACUCAGAGCCAUCGGUGUAAUAGGUUCUGUCUACCAUGUUCCGCACAUUGUUUGAACAAUAAAAAUAAGCUGUCAAUGAAAAUAAGCUGUCAACUAUUUUGAAAUGAACAAUAUAAAUUAGCUAAUAACUAUGUUUGAGAAACUCACAUAGCGGUAGAAUUGGAGGCGUAUCAACAAGGACCCAAAUGUCCAUAUUGUCUUGCUCGAUGUCAGGAUCACCAAGAUCCAUGGUGACAAGCAUACCCUCAUCAAAACCAUACAUCUUGCAAAAUGCUUCCCAAUUUUUGCAACCAAAAUGGGUUACGCUCUCAGAAUUAUACAACUUUACUUCAAAAUCUAUAUCAUGAUGGGUCCUUAGGUGAAUUUUCUUUGUUUCCAUACUUUCAUGGUCUUCAAAACCCAUCCUCUCCAAGACGUAGCGUCUUGCAUGGCAUGGGAUAAGCUAGCCGAAUUGUAAAAGAUGAAAAGUACACGUUGAAAUAGUUGAAGUCGUGCUUAAUUACGAAAAAAUAACACUUGUCGUCGUUGCGUACCGUUUCAACAUCGAACGCCUCCUCCAGCUUAAUACUGAAGCGCCGAUCUUCGUCCAGGUGAGGCCUGUCGCACUGACCUCGGUCGUCGUGGCACCAGUCGCACUCCCCCGGGAGACUUUCGUCGUCCGAGUACGACAUUUCCUAUGUUCAUAUAUAAUUCAAAUAGUAAACAUCUACAAUUAAAUAUAUGUACUAAAAAACCUAAGUUAGAUCAUUAUUAUUCAUCACGGGUUGACUAUCGGUUUGUCGAGUCUUUUCUUGAAAACUCUCAGCUCACGUGGUGUAUACAUUCGACCGUUGGUGAUGGUCGCUCCUCCCUUUGUCCCCGUGUGCAUUACACCAAAAUGUCUAGCUAGCACACGGGAACAAAGGAGAAGCGACCCCCACGACAACAGUCGGGAUUCUUCGUCCUCUCAUAUAUAUAUAUGGUGGAACUCUCCCUCACUGAUUCCUCUCUGACAUUUGCGACCGUCGGUGAUGGUAGCUCCUCCUUUCGUUCUCGAGUGCAUUACACCAAAUUGUCUAGCACACGGGAACGAAGGAGAAGCUACCCCCACGACAACACAGUCGGGAUUCUUCGUCCUCUCAUAUAUGGUGGAGACUCGAUAGACUUACAGUCAACCCGAAAUAUCGUUUAAUUAUCUUUCUAAAAGAGGAUUUGGCUGGUCUCACCUCGAUGUCGGAGGGGGCGGUGACGGGGACGACGGCGGGGAUGAUGGAGGGGCCGGGGGGCUCCUAGAUUUCUGCGAAAACAAAAACCCUAUAAGCUAUCAACUAAUCAUAGUGCUCUCCAAUUUUAGCAUUCAAAGUAGGAUCGGAGUAGUUUUCCACUUUGAGCAUUCAAUAAGCAAAAUCAAAUCACAAAAUAAAGUAGUAUUCAAAUUAGGAUGCAUCCAAUUAUAAGCAAAACUACAUCAUCUCCAUGCGUCCGUACAUCGCUGAAUAUUAUCACUAAUACACCUCGAAUACUAUCAUACAUAUAGCAUCGCUAGUACAGCUAGAAUAGUAGCGCCCGACGGACAUCGGCGCGGGCGGUGGACACCCAAAGGGACGGAACCAUCACAGGAUCAUAGCUCCAGUGAGAUCCCUGAAGAACCUGCCAGGUACUGUCGAACCUGCCCUCCAACGCAACCAUGUAGCGACGGACGUGCUGGUCCUCCUCGCUGACACGGUGACGUACCUCCUCCGCGGUGUCCGGAAGCCUCGGCACCGUCACUGGCCCACGCGAGCGCCACCAAACAAGGAUCGGGUCAACGACGGGCUGGUUCCUCACCAACCUACGCCCACCGGAAGGUAGCACCUCCCAAAACCAGCCCGGCGGAGCCCAGUCCCGGACAUGGCCCCUCUGAUCAAGCCGGCCUCCUCCGCCGAGUCCACGACGAGGAUGCGGGAUAGGCAUCGUCGACGUCGAUGCGGGAAUAAUUGCUUUAACUAAAAAAACAAACUAGUUCUAUUAAUUUCCUUACUAUAAAUAGAAUAAAGUAAUACUUACUAAAAAUAAACUAGCUAGUUUAACUAGUUCUAUUAUUUUUCUAACUAAUUCUAUUAAACACUUUCUAGGUAGUACUUACUAAAAGUUAUCGGGGAGGGGGGUACAUAUAUCGACAACGACAUACCCGAUAAAAAAUAAGAAGAGGAAGAAAACGAAAAAAAGAGGAGAAGAAGAAAGGAAUAGAGGAGGAGAUCGAAGAAAAAAAAGAAAAAAAGAGGAGAAGAAGAAGGAAUAGAGGAGAAGAAGAAGAAAUAGANNNNNNNNNNNNNNNNNNNNNNNNNNNNNNNNNNNNNNNNNNNNNNNNNNNNNNNNNNNNNNNNNNNNNNNNNNNNNNNNNNNNNNNNNNNNNNNNNNNNNNNNNNNNNNNNNNNNNNNNNNNNNNNNNNNNNNNNNNNNNNNNCUUCUUCUCUUCUUCUCUUCUUCUUCUCCUUCUUAUUUUCCUUUUUUCUCUCCUUCUUUUUCUUCUAAAUAUGAACAUACAUAAAUGACUUUGAUCAUACACAAUUUCUAUGAACAAAAAAAAUCAUAAAAAUUCUAUGAACAAAAUUACAACAGAAAAAAUCAUAAAAAUUCUAUGAAAAAAUUGAUAUAUUCUUUGCAUAUGAACAUACAAACAUUUGCAUAUUCAAUAAUAAUAUCACCAAAAAAAUCUAAACUACACAUCUAAAUUACAACAACUAAAUUAUCUAAUUAACUACACAUCCAAAUUAAUACAACUAAAUUACAAAUCUAACUACACAUCCAAAUUAAUACUACACAUACAAAUCUAAUUACACAACUAAAUCUAACUACACAUCCAAAUUAAUACUACACAUACAAAUCUAAUUACAUCUAAAUUAAUACUACACAUACAAAUCUAAUUACAACAAUCUAAUUACAAAUCUAACUACACAUCCAUUACAGGGAGGAGGAGGAGGGGAUCGGGGCGGCGCUCACAGGGUGGCGGAGGGCGACGGCGACCGCGGCGGGCCGGGGGCGUAGGGCGGUGACGGUGACGUACGGGGCGACGGCUCGGGGGCGCGCGGCGGAUGCCGACGGCGACGGNNNNNNNNNNNNNNNNNNNNNNNNNNNNNNNNNNNNNNNNNNNNNNNNNNNNNNNNNNNNNNNNNNNNNNNNNNNNNNNNNNNNNNNNNNNNNNNNNNNNNNNNNNNNNNNNNNNNNNNNNNNNNNNNNNNNNNNNNNNNNNNNNNNNNNNNNNNNNNNNNNNNNNNNNNNNNNNNNNNNNNNNNNNNNNNNNNNNNNNNNNNNNNNNNNNNNNNNNNNNNUGUCUGUUGGCCUAUUGGGCCUUCUGCGGGCCUGAAUCCUGGCCCAGGUUGGGUUUCUAGUCGUAUUCAGGCCGUGGUGGCCCAAUAGGUGGCAGUUUUUUAAAUUUUUUGCAUUAUUUAUUUUCUUUUGUUUUUUGCUUUAUUUUUUAAUUCUUUUUGCUUUUAGGUCAGCAAAAUUAUAAACUGUCUGUUAGUGCCAUUAGUUUUAUAAAACAUAUAAACUUUCUAUUAGUUCCAUUAGUUCUUUAUGAAAAUUCUUUUUGCUGUAUUUAUUUUUUUAUUUUAUUUUUUGCUAUAUUUAUUUUGUUUUAUUUCUACUUACAACAAAAAACUUAUUUAUUUUAUUUUAUUUUGUUUCUAAUUACUUAUUUAUUUUACUUUAUGAUAAUUCUUUCUGCUAUUAAAGUUUCUAUCAAAAAAAGUUCUUUAUGAAAAUUCUUUUUGCUUUUAAUGAUUAAAAAUAAAAAAGAGGCGCAACGCGCGUUGAUUUGCUUCAAGCCUUUCGGAAUAGUGUAGACUGCACUGCACAUAGCUCGAUGCAGUCUACCUUAUUCCUCAAGGCUUGAAGCUAAGCAACGUGAGCAUUGCGCCUCUUCUUCAUCGUCUCUGCACUCAGGGCUUAUAAAUCGCUCCUAGUGCCUCUCAGCUAGCGAGGUGGGACUAAAAAACUGCUUAGCUAGUAAGAAACUCUAGUACCGGUUCGUGCCACGAACAGGUACUAAAGGUGCUCGUGGGGCCACAGCCUCAUUAGUACCAGUUCGUGGCACCAACAGGGACCAAAGGGUGGAAUUGGUCCCGGUUCGUGCCACCAAUGGCAUGUUACAAAACGGACAAUCUCUUUCAAAGUAUCAGGAUUUCAUCCGGAAACUCGUCUGUUACAAAGGGAUUUCAUUUUUUUUAAACUUAUUUGAACUCCUGAAUUUUUGUGUGUUCAAAAUGCACCAUUCAAAGCCACAUCAUCAUUUGUCAAUCCUUUCUGACUUCAUUUGUUAUUUUUCAUGCAUUUACUAAUUAUUUUGAGCUAUAAGACCCUAAAAUUGAAAAGCAUUUCAAAUGAACUCUGAAAAGGUUGAAAGUUGGCAUGAUAUCAUCAUUUCAUCCACAUAGCAUGUGCAAGAACGUUGAGAGGGUUACGGCAUAAACUGGAUGCACUUCGUGUACAAAACGGACAAUCUCUUCCAGACGCAUUUUAUUUUUAUUUAUUUUACUGCUGCUAUUUUUACUUAAUUUAUUAAGGUUUAUUUAUUGUAGUUACUAUAGUUUAUUUUAUUUUAUUUUAUUAAGGUUUAUUUAGUUUUAUUUAUUUUAUUAAGGUUUAUUUAUUUUAUAAAUAUAAAAAAUGAAAAUAGAUGCGCUUAUAGAGAAAAUUCAACCUAAAUUCAUAAUAAAUAUCUAUGAAAUUUACUGUGAAUUUAGGUCAAAUUCCCUGUAUAAGGGCAUCUAUUUUCACUUUAAAAGGCAGAGAGGGACGGGCUUAUAAACUGGUGUGAGCCCCUUCGGUUGGUGAGGUGGGACUAAACACUGGCCGCAACUAGGACCAGCCCUUUAGUCCCGGUUUGUGGUAUGAACCGGGACUAAAGGGUGGUGGGCCAGGAGCGUGGCCCAUUGGUCCCGGUUUGUACCACCAACCGGGACCAAAGGGUCCAUACGAACCGGGACCAAUGCCCACGAGGCCCCGGACGGCCCCCUGGGCUCACGAACCGGGACGAAUGCUCACAUUAGUCCCGGUUCGUGACUGAACCGGGGCUAAUGUGAAAACUGCCCUGUGACCUUUGCCCCGUUUUCUACUAGUGACAUCUCAGCAUUCAAAUGGUUGCUCACAGAAAGCAAGCCGUCCCGAUUUGCACGCUUCCACCUACACACACAAAACCCUAACCCUAACAUAUACCAUAAAUACAAGUGAUGGUAUAUGAUCUCAGUACACCUCUGAAUGAGCCUUACUCAUCAUCACCAUCAACAGCACUUAGGCGCAAAUCCCACAAAGAGAAUAACAGAGAAGCCAAUAGUCAAAGAGCGCAAGAUGACCAGAAACAACAUGAGAAUCGGUAAAAGCAGAAAGAAUCACUAUAUCGGGAGCAAAUCAUGAACUGGUGGACACAAAAACUGGGACAUGUAUAAGUACAUGGCUUAGAUACACUCCCAUCUCAACACUAUAACUGAAUUUCUGGUAGAAUGACCAUGAACAUUUAUAUUUGUGAACGGAGGGAGUAACAGUUAAGAAGGGGAGCCUUGCCGCAGCGAUAAAGCUGUAGCCUUGUAACCUUGAGUUCAUGGGUUCGAGUCCUGGAAACAGCCUCUUGCAGAAAUGUAGGGAAAGGUUGCGUACUAUAGACCCAAAGCGAUCGGACGCAUGUUCUUCCUUGGUACAUGCGUGUGUGUGUGUGUUCCUGAGUUCCACCAUUGUGCGUCUGUGUGUGUGUGUUCUUGAAAAAAACCACAAGAGAGUUGAGAGAGGAGGAAGAAGAGAGGCGCUGCAAGGAGGCGGAGCCAACACCCGGACUGUUGAGGAUAUAACCAUUGGAGUCACCCGCCCAGGAGGGGCCGGGUUACCCAUAAUGGUCAUCACGCGAAGCCCAGUACCAAAUUUGAAGACGGCGGGUCAAUAAUGGGCCUAAGACCCGGAGAUGGCUUAAGGCCCGUAGUGUUAGCCGCCGUUGGGGUGAAACUUGUAGUGUAAGGCAAGAAUAGCUAAGAGUCCGAGCCGGACACUGUUAUGGGCCGGCCGGGACUCUGAGAGCCGCUGGGCGUCAACCUCUCUAUAUAAAGGGACGACCCGGCGGCGGUUUAGGGACAAGGAAGAUCAAGUCGAGAGCCGGGCAUAGCAAUUAAGCUCCCUGGUCAUCAAAACCCUAAUCAAUACCACCUCAACUGGACGUAGGCUUUUACCUUCACCGUAAGGGGCCGAACCAGUAUAACCCUCGUGUUCCUUGUCCCGUUUAACCCCUUUAAGCUUCCUAGCUGCGAUGGCUCCACGAUUAAGUCCUAACACGAGGACAUCUGCCGUGAUAAAUGCACGACAGUUGGCGCCCACCGUGGGGCUGGCGCACGGUGGAUUUGAGUUCUUGAAGGGCAGCUUCGAAGGGCUCAAGGGAUACGCGGUAGGCCGGAUGACUAAGAGUCAUCGCGGCAAGCUCUACAUCGACGAUGCAAACUGGGGCCCCGACGCCGGCUCAAUUGAGUACGGGUACCGGGUCCCCUUCGGCGGAAUUCAUGUCUUCAUUGGCAAGAUUGGUGAGCCGGGCCCUAAGCCGGAUCUCUGCGCCGAUCUCAUGGAGACGGCUCAGCGCGCACGAACCGCCCGGGCUCUGCCUGCCUUGAAGCAUGCUUUCGUGGGAUGUGUCCAUGGUGGAUUCUUUGAAGGGUCUGGAUCUGGUGAUGAGACGGCCGCCGGCUCUGGCGGCGAGUCGUCUACGGAUGAGUCAAACUCGUUGUAUCAACUUCAAGAUGGCAGGCUCAGGAGUUGUUCCGAUGGCGACAGCAUUCCGGACCCCUUUGAGCCGCCGAGCCGGGUUGGAAUCUUCAUGGCCGGCGCACAACCUGUUCAAAACCCCGCCGCCGGGUCAGGAAGCCCUGUGCCCUCGCCGGCUCAGGUGUUGAUGGAUCUCACAGACAUGAUGACAGCCUUGUUGACCGCUACGGUUGCCCCGGCGGAUCAAGUUCAGCAUGACAAGGAGGUAGCACAGUUAAAGUUGGAUCUAGCAAAAGCCAAGGAGGAUCUGGCGGCGGAAGGGAUCAGGAUGGCUGCAGAGAGGGCGGCUCUCGACGCCCAGACUCAGUUGAUCCAGGCACAGUCUUUCCAGCUCACGAUGGAUCAAAACGCGUCCAAUGAGGUCAUGAGAAGGAGGCAUCAAAAGGCCCAAUCUCGACUCCCUCCGGUUUACGAUCCUCGGAACCUCUUCAACACGCCGGGUGCAGGGUCUAGUAACCCGCCAGAGAUCAUAGUGCCCGGGGCUGGGACACCAAUUCAGCCCCAAGUGAUGGGACCUCCCCGGGUGAACCCUGCCCCGCCUCAGUACGUACCAAUACCGCCGGGUCAUUAUGCCAACCCGUUGGAAAACAUGGUCGCCGCGGCGGCGCGGCUGGCGGCUCUCCCAAUUGAUGGUGACUCUCCAACGGCGGUUGAAACCCGCCGGGUCAGAGAACUCCUUCAAACGGCUCUGGCGCAGCAAGAGGCGUAUUCUUAUAGCCGGGACAGGAUUCAUUCAACCCUCGUCCAGGCCGGAGCCCGAGUUAUAGCAGACACAUGGUCUCAGCGACCGGCUCAAGCAACGUCCGACGCCAUGGCUUGCCUCCUGGCCACGGCCCGGCUUAUCCGACGGCUCAUAACGGGGCCUUUCACGCGGCAGACCAAGACAGAGCUCGGCAAGAGGCGGAGCAGGCGCCUCAGUUGACGGCUUACCAGCCACCCCCGGCUUAUCCGACGGCUUCUAUCGAUGCGGGUAUACCUACGAGGACUGGAGGUGUCCCUUGUCUGGUGCCGGCUCUCUGCAAUGAACGUCUGCCCAAGGAUUUCAAAGGGCCUAGGAAGGUGCCUAAUUACACGGCUGAUUUACAACCCGGAGCUUGGAUCGAGAGUUACGAGAUGGCCAUGGAGUUGCUGGAGGUCAGUGAAGCGGCAAUGGACAAAUACUUCACCAUGAUGUUAGAUGGGACUGCCCGCACUUGGUUGAAAGGGCUGCCACCGAAUUCUAUCGGGUCUUGGGCUGAGCUAAAGGCCCGGUUCAUCCAAAACUUCAAAGAUACCUGUAGGCAGUCUAUGUCAAUUGUGGAUUUGACUAACUGUAAGCAGCAGGAGGGUGAGUCUACAACCCACUGGGUUCGCCGGGUCAAAGAGAUAAUACAUUCAUCUGAUAAGAUGGAUGCCGGCUCUGCAGUCUUAAUGUUAGAGCAGAAUUGUCGCUUUGCGCCCCUGAAGAUGAAACUCGGGCGGCUCAAGCGCGAUUGCAACGAUAUGGGUACGCUGAUGGCGGCUCUGGUUAAAUACGCCGACUCUGACAGUACCAAGGAUCCCGCGUCAGAUGAUGAAAGGACAGGGAAGGGAAAACGGAACGACAAUGGCAAGGGCCCCCAGCAUAACCCGGCGAACCAGGGGGGUAACAAGCGUAAGGCUGAUGGCACUAUGGAGUUUGUGGCCAAUGCCAGUUCACAAGGUAACAACCACCGGCGCAAGGGGAGACCGCCUCCCCGCCGGCGGGUCAGGCCCGACGCUUGAGCAGUUGUUGAAUGAGCCUUGUCCAAAGCAUGGCUCUAGGGAAAAGCCGGCCACUCAUAUGUGGAAAGACUGCGCAAUCAUGAAGGCCUUCAAAAAUUCCAAUACUUUCAAUGGCAAUAAUGGCCCGGGCGGCGGCUCAGGCGCCGGCGGCUUUCAUGGCUCGGGCAGCGGCUCAAGUUCCAAUCCUCAGAAUGUUCAAAGGGGCUUUAAUCAGCAGUCCGGCCAGGGUCAUCAACAGCAGCAGGGGGAUACCAGACGAAUCCGAAGCAGCUCAAUGGUGGACAGUAUCAUGUGUUUACCACCAGUCUGUGCAAGCGAGAUCAGAAGCUUCAUAAGAGGGCUGUUAACGCUGUUGAGCCGGCGGUUCCACGCUAUUUAAGAUGGUCUGAGCAGCCUAUUGUGUGGAGUAGGGAAGAUCACCCUCCCCGGGUUGAUAAUCCGGGACACCUGGCCCUGGUGGUGGAUCCUCAGGUGGGGGGAUACAAAUUCACUAAGGUGCUCAUGGAUGGAGGCAGCAGCAUCAACAUCCUCUAUUACGAGACCUUCCGUCGUAUGGGGUUGAUUGAUAAGAACCUCAGCCAGUCCAAUACUGUUUUCCAUGGUGUGGUGCCUGGUAAGUCGGCAUAUCCAGUUGGUAAGAUCGAGCUGGAAGUGGCUUUUGGAGAUGAGCACAACUACAGGGCGGAAAAAUUGACCUUUGAGGUGGUUAAGAUAAGAAGUCCGUAUCAUGCUAUAUUUGGGCGGCCGGCUUACGCCAAGUUUAUGGCACGGCCGUGUUACGUAUAUUUACAGCUCAAGAUGCCGGGUCACAAUGGGACCAUUACGGUUCAUGGCAGCCGAAAGAUAGCCCUGGAGUGUGAGGAAGGUGACGCGGCUUAUGCAAAAUCUGUUUGUGCAACAGAGGAGUUGAAGUUUUACAAGGACAACGUUGACCCGGCAGAUAUGACAUCUCUGAAAAAGCUGACCACGGAGCAUGAGCCGGCGAUGAAAUUUAAGUCAGCUGAUGAGACCAAACUUGUUGACUUUGUUCCAGGUGACUCGUCUCAGCAGUUUAGCAUCAGUGCCAAUCUGGAUCCGAAAUAGGAAAGCACGCUCGUCGAGUUCAUCCGUGAGAACAGGGACAUUUUUGCAUGGAAACCUUCUAACAUGCCAGGUGUACCUAGGGAACUCGCUGAGCACACUCUCAAUAUUGAUCCGAAACCGGUCAGGCAAUUCCUUCGGCGGUUUAAUGAGGAGAGGCGGAAAGCCAUUGGUGAGGAGGUGGCCCGGCUCUUGGCGGCCGAGUUUAUUGUCGAAGUCCUUCAUCCAGAAUGGUUAGCUAACCCGGUGUUCGUGCUCAAGAAGAAUGGCACCUGGCGGAUGUGUGGACUACACGGACUUAAACAAGGCGUGACCGGCUGAUCCUUUUGCUCUCCCCCGUAUUGAUCAAAUCAUUGAUGCUACAGCGGGUUGUGAGCGCUUAAGUUUCUUGGAUGCUUAUUCUGGAUACCAUCAGAUUAAAAUGGCAGUUAAGGACCAGGAGAAGACGGCGUUCAUCACUCCCUUUGGAGCCUUCUGUUAUGUGUCUAUGCCUUUUGGACUCAAGAGUGCACAUGCGACUUACCAGCGUUGUGUGCAGAAUUGUCUUCAUAACCAGAUUGGGCGCAAUGUUCAUGCCUAUGUGGAUGAUAUCAUGGUUAAAUCCAGGGAGAAGGAGACCCUGGUUGAUGACCUUAGAGAAACCUUUGAUAAUCUCCGGGUUUACAAGAUGAUGCUUAACCCGGCCAAGUGUGUUUUUGGUGUUCCUGCAGGCAAGCUCUUGGGUUUCCUGGUUUCUAACAGAGGCAUUGAAGCUAACCCGGAAAAAAUCAAGGCAAUCACCUCUCUGGCUAAGCCGGCGUGUAUAAACGACGUCCAGCGUCUAGCAGGCCGCAUCGCUGCUUUGAGUCGUUUUAUAAGCCGUUUGGGUGAAAAGGCCAUGCCACUGUACCAGUUGAUGAAGAAAACUGAUGAUUUUGUCUGGAAUGAUGCUGCUAAUACUGCUUUCGAGGAUUUGAAGAGACAGCUGGCUGAGCCCCCGGUUCUUGCUGCUCCGGUUGACAAGGAGCCCUUAUUACUGUAUGUAGCUGCUAACGCAUGAGCCGUCAGUGUGGCUGUGGUGGUGGAGCGCAAGGAAGAGGGUAAGGAGUACCCGGUUCAGCGGCCGGUUUACUACGUCAGUGAAGUGCUCAUUGAGUAUAAACAGCGGUAUCCACAUUGGCAGAAGCUUGUUUAUGGUGUGUUCAUGGCAAGCCGGAAGCUUAAGCAUUAUUUCCAGGGUCACCCCAUCACUGUGGUUAGUUUCGCUCCCCUUGGAGAUAUCAUCCAAAACAGAGAAGCUACAGGAAGAGUGGCUAAGUGGGCUAUAGAGCUUGGGCCUCAUGGUCUGAAAUACGUACCAUGCACUGCUGUCAAAUCUCAAGCAUUGGUGGAUUUCAUCAAUGAUUGGACAGAGCUACAGGUGCCGGAAGAAAAGCCGGAUAAUACAUAUUGGACUAUUCACUUCGAUGGGUCCAGGCAAUUGGAGGGCUCGGGGGCUGGAGUUGUAUUAGCUUCCCCUCGAGGUGACAAGUUUUGCUACGUGCUACGGUUGAUGUUUCCCUGUACUAACAAUGCAGCUGAGUACGAGGCCUUGCUCCAUGGUCUUCGGAUGGCUAAGGAGAUGAGUUUGAGCCGGGUGAGGUGCUUUGGCAACUCAGAUUUAGUGGCCCAACAAGUGUCAGGCAAGUGGGAUUCCAAGGACCCUCUCAUGGCGGCUUAUCGCCGUGAAGUUGAUGCCAUUGCUGGACACUUUCAGGGUUACCAAGUAGAGCACAUCGAUCGCAGGAAGAACGAGGCGGCUGAUGCACUAAGUCGGCUGGGCUCUCAGCGAAAGCCGGUGCCGCCUAAUACUUUCUUAGACAUCUUGCAUAACCCUCUGUUAAGUUACCUACAGAGGAAGACUUGGCUGUCCCUGACCCGGAGGCACAGUUGGUGGCGGCUCUUCACAUCACCCCAGACUGGACAAUACCAUAUUUGGCUUACAUGACCCGGGGAGAGUUGCCUGAGGAUGAAACUUUGGCCAGACAAAUAACCCGGUGUCACGACCGGUUUUUCAAUAAAAAUAUUUAUUGAGAGACCAAUCCCUUUUAUGGACCAGUAAAGAAGAAUUCCUUCUCACUGGUAGACAAUAUCUUGGUCACAGAAGAAAAUACCAGGAGUACUGAAUAUAAUACAAGGUUGAGCGGGGACUGCUCAACAAUUUAUUACAAACACGCCGACAAAACAUAACGGCGGAUAGGGUGGCAUGACUACUAACUCACGAUAACAACGGUGGUGGAAAUAUCACAGCGGAGUAGGUGAUAUGACUCCUGAAAACUACAGCUCUUCGAGCGUCGGAGUGAGGCUCGAGGAGACUUAUUGCGGGUGGCGGAAGCGUGUAUAAUACAAGUGACCAAAAUCCGGGAUCGCACAGGACUGACUGGGAGUCAUCUAGGCGUCGGACGCACUAUCAAACUCUUCAUCCAAGAGAUCGACUUCGUCAACAUCUGGCCAAAUCAACAAGCCAGGUGAGUACUAUGAAAGUACUCGCAAGACAGUUUGGACAUAAGAUAUAACAAAUGUAAACAUGAAGCAUAUGAACAGAUUUUCCAGUGCGUUCAGACAUAGAGAUAAUAAAUACUGGGUGCCAAACGAGGGUCUGAAUGACUCCUCGAGAGGAAACUGCAAGAAUAGUAAUACUGGUGCCAAACGAGUGUCUGAAUGACUCCUCGAGAGGAAACUGCAAGAAUAGUAAUACUGGUGCCAAACGAGUGUCUGAAUGACUCCUCAAGAGGAAACUGCAAGAAUAGUAAUACUGGUGCCAAACGAGUGUCUGAAUGACUCCUCGAGAGGAAACUGCAAGAAUAGUAAUACUGGUGCCAAACGAGUGUCUGAAUGACUCCUCGAGAGGAAACUGCAAGAAUAGUAAUACUGGUGCCAAACGAGUGUCUGAAUGACUCCUCGAGAGGAAACUGCAAGAAUAGUAAUGCCGCAGUCGGGCGUCAGGGCGACACCACAUAAAGGGCUUAUAAAAGAAAAUAAAAGACGAACAUGCCACAGUCAGNNNNNNNNNNGAACAGAUUUUCCAGUGCGUUCAGACAUAGAGAUAAUAAAUACUGGGUGCCAAACGAGGGUCUGAAUGACUCCUCGAGAGGAAACUGCAAGAAUAGUAAUACUGGUGCCAAACGAGUGUCUGAAUGACUCCUCGAGAGGAAACUGCAAGAAUAGUAAUACUGGUGCCAAACGAGUGUCUGAAUGACUCCUCGAGAGGAAACUGCAAGAAUAGUAAUACUGGUGCCAAACGAGUGUCUGAAUGACUCCUCGAGAGGAAACUGCAAGAAUAAUAAUACUGGUGCCAAACGAGUGUCUGAAUGACUCCUCGAGAGGAAACUGCAAGAAUAAUAAUGCCGCAGUCGGGCGUCAGGGCGACACCACAUAAAGGGCUUAUAACAGAAAAUAAAAGACAAACAUGGCACAGUCGGACGUCUGAGCGACAUCACAUAAAGGGCUUAUAUUGUGGCUCAAUAAUUCAGUAACUUGAGAACAUAAAUUAUUACAAGCACGAGACAAAUAUAAGGUUAGUCCAUCCGCAGGAAUAACAAUUAAACUGGGUUUACCACUUGAGCUUGUUCACCGGGGGUAGAAAUUCCACGAGGAUAGAUAUGGAUAUACUGGUUACUCUAAUUGAUCAUGGGGACUAACAAUUAAACGGAAGGAUUUGACUCUGCAGAGUUUGUACUUAACCACAGCCAACGGAUUUCAGUAGUCACGGGACUAGUUCCGUUUACGGUGUUUUGGAAGAAACACGUCUAACCAGUACACACCCAUUCAACAUUCCGAAGCCAGGGAUCACCCUCGGCAAUGUUCAAGAAAAACCUUGAGACGGGGAGGCUACAACCUCGCGUAGCAUGGGAUCAAAUUUCUAUACGCGCUCUCUAAGGGGGUGCCCCCCCUCUCGGUCCCAACCGGAAACACCCAUGCCCCCUGACCGGAUGACUGGCUUUAAUCCUGGGCCAAGGUACCAUCAUCCCGGCCCCUCUGUUUGGUGUGUACACGGAAAGAGGUUACCAACUUACUAAACCGCAUCCUGGCAAAUGAAACAUGUGGCAGCACGGAGAGGAAAAGAACGAUAACGUGACUCCGUCCACGUUAACGUCGGAAUUUGUCAGAUGACGGAGGCUGGUAUGCUACAACAGUACCACCUUGCUGCCCUUCAUGUCACCACAUGAUUAGGCCAUCUCUCACCAGAGAUCAUCGUGACUUUGGAACAUGCGGGUUGCCUCACAAGCAAUGAGGUACUCACUGACACUCAUAAGCCACGCACAAACUUUCACGCAAACAUGCAAAACACCCAUCAUAUCAAAGGUUCAAACAUGCUUGCCUGGUUCGGAGAAGUCGGAGUCUAGUUCGGCGAAGUUCGCGGCUCCGUCACCUCCUCCAGAACCUACGGCAAUAACGAAAACGGGCACUAACGUGAAAACCAACGUGUGCAUAAAAACUUCUCCAAAUUUUUUCCAAAUAAAUCCCAUAAAAAACUAGACAAAAUUUUAAGAUUGUCAGAAAAAGAAUCACUCAAAAAUCCCUUUUUAUUAAAAAUUUAUAAAGGUUUCUGUCCAGGGACUCAUCUGUAAUGAAACAGAAAAGUUCCAGGGUUUAAACUGAGAAAACAAAAAACGCUUCGAAUAGAAAUGCGCAAGCCCACAGAGAAAACGUAUUUGCCUGAAGGCGCCAACAGAAAACGUUUCGCGAGGGGAAACAGAAGAGAGGCUGACAGGGGGGUCCCACAUGUCAGGUUUAAACCUCGCCGGCGCCCGAGGGCUGCGGUGGUCGCCGGCGUCGAACCACGGCGAGACAGGGAGAUCGGAGUGUACCAAGAGCUUCAGCGUGUCCUUCCGCGUCGGUGGGUGGUGGACUCGACCGACGGAGAGCACCACGUCGACGGCGACACUUUCUCCGGCGGACGGCGGUUCGGGUGAUGGUGGAGAACUCCGGUGGUGAGCUGCAAACUCCGAAUUGACGCGCGGGUCAGAAGAGUGGAUGCAUAAGGGAGCUACUGGCAAGAGAUGGGAGGCAGAGGCGCACGCACGGGAGCGAAUCGAGCUGGAUCCCGUGGCGGGUCGCGGCGGCCGGAGUCGAGGAAGGAGACCUCCUCGGGGUUCUUCCAGUGGCUUGGCGUGCUCUAGGUGGAGUGCAGGGGUGGGGUGGGUUCGAGUUGAAGCCCGGGGCUUCUAUUUAUAGGCGGAUCGAGGGGGUGGCCGUGAACGGAGAAUCUCCGGCGAGCAAUUACGGCGAUGCAGUGGUCGAGCAGGGGGUUUGAGUGGCCAGGCAGCAUCAGUGGAAGUUACUGGUGUCGUUCCCCCGCUAAUCCCGGCUGGUCUUGGCGUAACGGCGCCGGUCCACGGUGGGGUGGCCGCACGGGCACGUCGGCGGCAGAGAGCGCACUCCGCGCCCAGCGGUUCACGACGAGAGUGGCAGCGCGUUCUGGGGAGUGGAAGGCCACACGGCGACCUCCGGUGGCUUGGGCGGCACUGGGUGGCGCCGUCAGCGCCGCGCCUCUCUCUGGCGGCUGCAAAGCCGCCGCUGGCGUCGGUCACGGGGCGGCGCACCUCCUGCUGCUCGUCGCCGACGUCCGCAAGGUGUCAGGGGAUCGUGCGGUGCAGAGGACAAGGAGGAAAGCGCAGGGCGCACGGCGACACCGCGGCACUGGCGAGAUCGACGUCGGGUUCUGAAGAAAACGACAGUGGGCACUGAACUGUUCUCUGAAUUUUCUGAACCUGAUUUUGACAAUGCCCUGCAGGUGUUCGACAGAAUGAUUAGGCAAGCAGAAAAAUUUUCCUGGGGCUGGGACUUGGUGAGGUGACCACUCAAUGCACCCAGAGGCUGCCUGAUUUUACUCAGAAUUUUUGGAGAAGGAUUUGAAUGAAUUUCAUCAAAUUUGACAAAUCUGGUCCAAACUUGCAGCAAGUGUAGUUUGAAAAAUUUGAACUGAAGACCAGUGGAUCUUCAUGGUUCUUGGUUGAGGGUUCAAAGGACUAGGAAGGGAAAAAGGUUUGGGGGCAAAAGUCAAAGCAGAAAGAGUAGUUCCUUUGUAAACCUCCAAGGGCUAGAAUAGAGGACAAAAAUUGUUUUGAUAAGAUUUAAAUGGAAAAUAAUUAUAUGGGGAGGUUCAGCUUGCUGGUUUUGAUGCAAAUCAUGAUCCAAAGAUGAGGGAAGGUUUAGGAGAGUGGAUUUGUACUAAGGCCAUGGCAAGAGAGAAUUGUUGAAAGUGGCAAAGGAUUAUUCCAAAAGCUAUAGAGUAUUUUCAAAGAAAUUUUCAAAAGACAUUUUUCUCAAGUGAAAAGCAUUUUGGUUUGAGUCCAAAUAAAAAGCAAGGACCUCCAAGACCAAAAACAAGUCUUGGGUGAAUCCAAAUAAAACUCUUGCCAUAAAAAAAAUAUUUUGAGAGGGAGGGUUCUUUUGAAGAAAAAUUUAAAUCACCUCCCUCAAGUCAAAUUUUUUUUUUGAAAAAUCCAAAUAAAAUUUUGGGUGUCACACCCGGCGGUAUAAGUCAAUGAUAGUUAUCAAUGGUGAGCUACAUCGCCGCAGUGUCACCGGAACUUUCCAGCGUUGUGUUUCCCCUGAGGAAGGCCAAGAUAUUUUGCGUGAGAUUCAUGAGGGGAUUGUGGCCAUCAUGCCGGCUCAAAAUCUCUUGUGGCCAAGGCUUUUCGUCAUGGUUUUUAUUGGCUGACGGCUCAUGCUGAUGCGGAAGACUUGGUCAGUAAAUGUGAUGGUUGUCAGAGGUUCUCUCGACGGGCUCAUGUGCCGGCUCAGGAGCUGAGGAUGAUCCCAAUUACUUGGCCAUUUGCGGUCUGGGGGCUUGAUAUGGUUGGGCCUUUUAAAAGGUCCAAGGAUAAGAAGACCCACCUCUUGGUGGCAGUUGACAAGUUCACAAAGUGGGUUGAGGCAGAGCCAGUUAGCAAGUGUGACGCAGCCACAGCGGUUCAGUUCAUGAAAAAGGUGAUAUUUCGCUUUGGUUUCCCACACAACAUUAUAACUGACGAUGGUACCAAUCUGUCUAAGGGCGCCAUGGAGGAGUUUUGUCAACGAGAGCAUAUUCGACUUGAUGUUUCGUCAGUGGCUCAUCCUCAAUCCAAUGGUCAAGCUGAGAGAGCUAAUCAGGAGAUCUUGAAGGGUAUUAAGCCCCGGCUUUUGGUCCCUUUGCAACGGACGCCGGGUUGUUGGGUGGAGGAGUUACCCUCCGUGUUAUGGAGCAUCAAUACUACUCCUAACAGGUCUACGGGUUACACGCCUUUCUUUAUGGUUUAUGGAGCGGAAGCAGUCCUCCCUAGUGACAUCCGUCAUGACUCACCUCGAGUGGCGGCUUAUGUUGAGGCGGAUAAUGAACGGGCGCGCCAAGAUGCUCUGGACUUGUUGGACGAACAGCGUGAUGUCGCAGCAGCUCGCUCGGCGAUUUACCAACAAGACCUGCGCCGUUAUCACAGCCGCCGGGUUAAGUCCCGGGUCUUCCAGGAAGGUGAUCUGGUGCUCCGGCUUGUCCAAGACCAAACAGAUGCACACAAAUUAUCCCCGCCUUGGGAAGGGCCCUUUGUGGUCAGCAAGAACUUGCACAACGGGUCAUACUACCUUAUCGAUGUUCGGGAGCACAAAGAUUCACGCAAGUCGGAGGAAGAGACCCGUCGGCCGUGGAACAUAGCUCAGCUUCGGCCUCAUUACACUUGAGCCACCGGCUCUCAUAGUGUACAUAUUUCUAUAGCCAUGUAUAUAUUAUGAUAAAUAAUAAAGCAGGACCUCUGUCCUUUUCUCCUCCAAAGGUAAACGUGUUAUUAUCAUUACAACAUCACAUGGUCACUUGGAGGUGGAUCCGGCUUAUGAUCGUAUUCGAAUCUAGCCGUAAACAAUAUGAUCACAUGGGGGCUUCCUGUUCAAACAUAGGUCGCACUCGAACCAAAGAGAACAUAGUUGUCGAUACCCACUUGAUUGGCAAAUUGCCGAGCUCAUUGGGGAGUUUUCUUUGAUCAUAUUUGAAUCAUAGCUCAACCCCCUUUGGGAACCGAUGUGGAUCGUAUUUGAAUCAGCGUCGUUAAACAACUCUUAAGGUCAUUUGGGGGCUUCCUGUUCAAACAUGGGUCGUAUUCGAACCAAAGAGAACAUAGCUGUCGGUACCCUCUUGAUCGGCAUCGCCAAAGCCAUUGGGGGCUAUAUGAUCGCAUUCGACUCUUAGCUUAACCCCUUUGGGACGGGUCUCUGGUCGUAUUUGAACCAGAAGCCCCUAAGUUUUGAUCUUCUGACUUACAACAAGCUCUUUUGGUCAUGUCAACAGUGUGCAAGGACGGCUUUUACUUCGCCGGCUUAAUUUUGAUUCACAACGUUGAUAACACAUAGUAAGUAUUCUUGAUGCUGGUAAACCGGAGUUGAGAUCUUCAACUCAUUAUUCGGGUUACAUAAACCGGAAGUAUACUUGAAGGCUUGUAAGUAUGCUAUUAUGGUUACAUCAAAAAAUAUAAUUGAGGGCCAGUCUUUGGUGACUUUUGUUCAUACUCCGGGUUAUAUAUAUAAGGUCUAUGAUUCUCAGUGCGGUAAGCCGCCUGGAGACUUGUGACUUGUUUUCUAUGCAGGAUGGUUAAAGACAGCUGUUCGAACUUAAGGAAAAUAAACUGAUCGAUUAUAACCCGGAGGAAUAAGCAGAAGCAGCUUCAAUGGAGUUAAGCAUUCAACACGUGCACGAUGGCACGACAAAAUUAAGUGUUUGUCCUACUCUAUUACAAGACUCCCCGAGUCCAAAAGGUGAGGCAUUGUUUUAAGGUGCAACCAUGAGCCGCCUAAAAGUCAAGAUGCUUGUUGAGUUGAAGCUUCCGGCUCAUCCCUCUCCGCUCCUCCGGCUGAUUCCAUGACCUGGAAGGUUGACGAUUUCCAGUCAAUGCCGUUCAAGGCUUCAAAUUGAGCCUCGUCGUCAAUUAACCCGGCCGGGUCAACUUCUGGGGCAAAGGUAUGCUUACGAGUCGGAGGGAUCAAGCUGAUGGCUUCAUAACAUGGAGUGGGGAUCCUCUGAUUCUCCGCGUCAUAGCCCGGCUGGUACUUGGUAAGAUCUGUGUCGUUUCCAAUCAUGGUAGCCACCGGGCGCACGCUCUUCACACAGGCGGCGAAGUCUUUCUGGUCAAAGGGAGUGUCGUCUUCCUUCAGGCUGGGGUAUGCAAGAGCAAUGUCGGCCGGGUCUAGCUCCGGGAGAAAAGCCUUGGCCCGGCUCAGUGCAGCUAUAGCUCCGGCUCUUGCAGAGGCCCGUCUUAGCUCUUGGAAGCGCUGAGGAAGAACGGCAAGCCGCCUGAGUACAUCCGCCAGGUGAGUCGGAACCUCGUUGGACAGGGCCACAACGGCUAACGCACGCUGUGACCCGGUAUAGAGUUGCUCCACCAAGGUAUACACGGCCUUCAGCUUGGUCAGAACAUUCUGGUUCAAGUUGAAGCUUCUGGGACCUAUUUAACAAAGUCAGGUAAGCCGGUGGCAGUAGUGAGACUUAUGAGACAUAAAGAAUGAAAACUUGUUAAAGGCUUGCAGAAUGACUUACCGAAGAUUGCGGCGACCAUCUGUGACACAUGGCGCUUUAAGCCGGAGAGUUCGGCGGUUCUCUCCGUCAGAGCAGCCUCUGCUUUUUCGGCCCGGCUCAGCAAGACGGUUUUCUCCUCGGCCCAAGUUUUUCUCUCUGUUUCAAAUUUCUUCUUCAGUUUUUCCUGUUCAGCAACACUGAACUCGAAUUUAGCAUUGGCCUUCCGGGUCUCAGUUUCCUGAGUAUUCAGGCGGUUCUUCAGCUUCAAAUUUUUUGCAGACAGCCUGUACAAAUUCCGGGUUAUAGUAUGAGUAAUUUUUAUGUAACAUUCAAAGUCCCAAGCACUUUGCACGCAAAGACACUUGGCACUUGGGGGCUAAUGUAUGCUGAAAGGUUCUAUUUAUAGUGCCGGUUCAUGAAAGUAAGUCCCAAGUACUUUGCAGGCAAAUGUACUUGGCACUUGGGGGCUAAUGUGUAACGUUGCUCAACUACUUGAUGAAAGUAAGGAAAGAGCCGGGUCAACUAUGCUGUUUAAGCCGGCCCUCGAGUGUUACCAGUCAUAGACUUGGGGGCUGGCAUGGUAAAGAUAACUAUGGAAUAAGCAAGAGAGUCAUACCUCAGAUUUUUGCUGUAUCUGCUUCACCAUAUCAAUCUCCAAGUCCCGGUUGCUGUGCACGUGACCAAUGUAACCAGAAACAAUGUCUCCAAUACUCAAGUUAGCAUAGUCAGUAAUCUCCAGUCUAGCCUUGCGGCGCUCCAGCGCUUCUUCUUUGGCAGAGCAUCUGGCCAGCGCAGUGGGUCUUCCCGGCUCAACGUAUUCAGUCCGGGUAAUCACCACAUCCGGAUCAUCGGCCGAUUGAGCUGAGCUGGGAAUCUCCGGGUUGUCGGAACCCGCCAUGGUUUGUUCUUCAGUUGAGGCGGCGGUGUCCGGAGCUGGUGAAGAUGGCGGCCCGGGAGCAGAAGCUUCUGGUUCAAUCAAUACCGACUCUUCGACCGGGUGAUUCUUCUUCGCUCUCUUGCUGAGCUUUGCUUAAGCACUGAAAGGACAAAAGGUUAGUACAAAAGCAUGAGUAAAGAUAAGCACAACAUAAGAUGAUCAUCAUUACCCAGGUGCGGUCUUGAAAGCCGGCAAGUUAGAUUGCAUAGAGUCACCAGAGGAAGGUGAAGUUUCCUGAUAGUUUGAAUCGGAAGAAUUGAGUGGUUGGCGAAUGAUGCCCGCCAAAUGAUGAAAAGGAUAUAAGUUGGAGAUAACCUCGGUCCGGCGCUUCCUUGAUGCUUCAGGUAAGCCAGAGGAGAGGUCUGCAUCCUUGGUGGCCCGGGUUUGUCUCCGGCUCUCAUGAAUCUGUUGCUUCAAAAGAAAUUGAGGAUCUUGAUAAGCUAAAGGAUGUGAAAAUCUUACUUUCCGGGUUACUCUUCGGACUUUCAGCCUUGGCAAGGGCUCCGAGUCGGAGGAAAUGAUCAGUGUCAAUAAGAUGGUUACUCGCUCCGGUAUCAUCCUGCUAAUGAUCAGUGUCAAUAAGAUGGUUACAAACAGACGAAAAAACAAAAGAAGAGUCUAAAGAAACAAGGGCUACCUCUGACUCGGAGCUAUCAUCCAGCUGAAGCAGCUCUGAGGCGCUAGGCUUACUCCCCUUCUUGCGGGGAGCGGCUCUCCUGGCGGCUUUCUUAGCCUUCCUGGCUUUUUUGGCAGCUCCAUGGUCAUACUUGACCUUCCAGAACGCAUCAUUAGCCUGAAAAAUACGACAAAGAUUUCUUAAGGUUCAGGUGAAAACUAUUAAAAGGGAAAGCAAGGUGCUCAGGUCAGCGGCUUACCGCUGGAGCCGGGUUAGCUUGGCAGAAGGGGCUUAAGCCGGUCCUCCCACAGUCGGCUAAGCUCUCAUUCAGGAGAGACUUGGUCAUGUCGUCCACGACAUCCUCAGGAAGAUCGUGGGAGCUGUGCCGCAAAGGGUCAUCCUUUCGGCCCGUGUAAUCACACAUUAAGCCGGGGCGGCGGCUCAGAGGAAUCACCCGCCAAGAAAUCCAGACCCGGACCAGAUCAAUGCCGUUAAGGCCAUUUCCCAGAAGAGCCUUAAUCUUGUUGAUGGUAGGGAUAAGUGGCUGACGUUCCGCUUGAGUUAGUUUGUCUGGCAGGGGGUGAGUUGGCUCCAGACGCAGGGCACAAAAGCCAGGCAGAGGGCUCUCAUCAGCCGGAGAAGUGUCUUGGCAGUAGAACCAUGUCUGGUUCCAAUCCUUUGGGUGGCUUGGCGGCUCAGCGUAAGGGAAAAGACAAUCUCUCCGUCGUUGAAUAGAGAUUCCGCCAAGCUCCAAGCUAGGCCCGUUGGCGCACUCAUUCUGGCGGUUCUGAUAAAACAAUUCCCUAAACAGCAGUAGGCUGGGCUCUUCUCCAAGAUAUACUUCGCAGAAUACUUGAAAGUUGCAAAUAUUUGACACGGAAUUGGGUCCUAUGUCUUGCGGUCGCAGAUCGAAGAAGUUCAAAAAAUCUCUAAAGAAUUUUGAGCCGGGAGGUGCGAAGCUCCGACUCAUGUGAUCAGCAAAUAUUACCACCUCGCCAUCUCUAGGUUGAGGUCUUUCCUCUGACGGGUCAGGGGCACAGUAAGACAUGACCUCCUUCUUGGGCAGGUAACCCGUCUUCACAAAGUCAGCUAGAGUGUCAUCAGUAACAUUGGAUCUCAUCCAGUAGCACGUGAUGGGUGCCUUGGGAGCCUUGGGUGGCAUUGUGAAAGACGAAAGCCUAUGACAAAAGGAAAUGUCCGGUUCAACUAUAAGCCGGAGGAAGUUUAUAGUUCAAUAUUCAAGAUGGCGGCUUAUGAAGGGGCCUAAUGAUAUAUCGCUAAUUCUUUCGGGUUAUCUAAGCCGCUGUGGGCAUCGUGAGUAAUUCAAGUUGUCUAAAACUUUAUCAUAAAUGAGCCGGAAAUUUUACAGCGUGUGGCCUCUUUUAAGCCGGAGAUGUGAGCCGCCAUAGCUAAACAGAUGCAAUUUUUGGCUAAGUGUGCCACAAACAAGUUUCACAGAUCGCAGUAAUUAUUUUGGAUCAAAUGAUUGACUGGAAAGAAAAUAUUUCUAGACCUAGAAGCUGAUACAGAGAAGUUCAUGAGCUCUAAAGAGAUCUCUUUGCAAGUAAAGGGGACAUGCUACUAUUGAAAAUGGGUGCGAAACCACAACCGCAUGAGUUCUAUACAUUCUCUGGAUCUAAAGGGGCCGUGAAGAAGAAACUGUGAAGAACUGCGAAGAACAGCAAGAACCCUAAUGCGGAUCUAUUCUAUGGAGUGGCAAGGGCUUACGGAUGCUGAUGAGUCGCGGAGGUCGCCGCCGUUUCUCUGGACAGGUCAGGGUGAUGCAGCGGCCUGAGUUGGUGAAAACGAGGAGACCCGCGGCGGCGGCGGUGGAGCUCGAGCGGCAGCACAGUAGCGAGAGGAGGAAGAUGGAGGCGACGAGUGAAGGAAGACUCAUGGGCCGGGCUUAUUUAUAAGGUGUGGUUAAUAAGUGGGUGCGAGAAACGAGGAGGCCACGGCGUGAUUAUCUCGCCACAGAAGCGCCUCGAUUUCCGGGAUGGCCAUUAAAGAAGAAAUCCGUUGGGGAUAUGACAGAAUAAAAAAUUAACUUAAUGGAAGAUGAUGUCACAGCGGUUACCCGGAAUCCAGAAGAUGACGUCACGGCGGGUUAUAGCCUUCACACAAAUGUAAGCCGGAAGAUUUUCUAUCAAAGGAAUUGAAAGAUUGACAUGAGCCGGCUCAAAUCAAUCUGGGGCCUAAUGUUGAGGAUAUAACCAUUGGAGUCACCCGCCCAGGAGGGGCCGGGUUACCCAUAAUGGUCAUCACGCCAAGCCCAGUACCAAACUUAAAGACGGCGGGUCAAUAAUGGGCCUAAGACCCAGAGAUGGCUUAAGGCCCGUAGUGUUAGCCGCCGUUGGGGUGAAACUUGUAGUGUAAGGCAAGAAUAGCUAAGAGUCCGAGCCGGACACUGUUAUGGGCCGGCCGGGACUCUGAGAGCCGCUGGACGUCAACCUCUCUAUAUAAAGGGACGACCCGGCGACGGUUUAGGGACAAGGAAGAUCAAGUCGAGAGCCGAGCAUAGCAAUUAAGCUCCCUGAUCAUCGAAACCCUAAUCAAUACCACCUUAACUGGACGUAGACUUUUACCUUCACCGUAAGGGGCCGAACCAGUAUAACCCUCGUGUUUCUUGUCCCGUUUAACCCCUUUAAGCUUCCUAGCUGCGAUGGCUCCACGAUUAAGUCCUAACACGAGGACAUUUGCCGUGAUAAAUCCACGACACGGACCCUGCGCAAGCAGGAGCUACGUGCACCGGGCUGCCCUUUAGGGAGUAAUAGUUAGCCCGGGCUGCCCUUUAGGGAGUAAUAGUUAGCCGCUAAACUGGUUACUUGCUGUGACACAAGCCAUCCUAGUUUAGCACCAAGUAAAUCAAUUCACGUGUUAGAUAGAAGCUCUCACAGGGAGGUUAUAUCAUCACAGCCAUUCAUGAACAUGACACACAAAAACAGUAAUCUUGACAGCUGAACUUGCCCUAUACAACCCUUAAGCUGAAACCAAUAAAGUAGUAAAGAGAAACCAAAAGUACAAACUGAUAAGUAGAUAAAGAGUACAAUAGAAGAAUGAAAUUAUCAAGUCAAAUAGCAAUUGAAACAAGCAAACUGACCCAACACCAAAUAAGAUAGUUUCAAAACCAUCCAAGGGACAUCAGAAUUAUCAUAGCCAUUCAAGAAAAAGGAAGAACAGAAAAGGAAAAACAAAACAGAAGACAAGAAUUAAGUGUGGCUGGAGUACUGUUCCUAAAACAACAGAACUGGUUGACAUACUGCAAAACCAACAAAAUGGGUAGGAAAAUAACCGAAAAUACAAACUUGCAAAACAGUCCUUUGCAUCCACCAGACCAUGAUUUUACCGAAAGAACUAAUAUCAUAACCAAACUCUCAACAUAUCUUUUAUGUAUUCAUGGAUGUGAGCAAGCAAGAAAUACAAAUUCUCAAAAGGAAAAGAUCAGUUCAAAUUUUGGGAAGGAAACACUCAUUUUUACAAAGAACUUUAUUGGGCGGGAGCCUUAGAGUUGGCCAAUUUAUAAAAGGUAGUCAUGGUAUUUUUUCAACAAGAGAUUAUAAGAGGUAGAUACAGGCUUAUGACAACAUUGUGUUUUUCCACGUAUUCGCUUCUAUAAGCAUUAAAAUGGUCAUCAGCAGAAAGCAAACCGUGCAAAUUGUAUUCCUUUAGGCCAGUUAGUAAUUGCAGUGCUUGACCAAAACAGUAGAAAAGAAGUUGACAACUUGCCGACUUGAACGUACAUCACUACCAAAAGAACCAGUAAAAAUUUAAUAGGGAUAGUAAAGGACAUGGAAUAUGACCAAAGAACUAGCUAUGGACGGGUGGGGAAGUAAAGGAGGACAUGGAAUAUCACCAAAGAACUAGCCAUGGACAGGGGUGCGUGGAAGCUAGCUAUCCAUGUGCCAGAACCAUGAGUUGGUUGCAAGAUCUUAUGGGUUUCAGCUCUAGCCUACCCCAACUUGUUUGGGACUAAAGGCUUUGUUGUUUUUGGAUGUUGGUAGUAAAGGAGGACAUGAACAGAUCAUGUUUCACAUAUUUAACCCCAUGAAAAGGGAGUAAACACAUUCAACCACUACCAAUACUAGGACCACCCGUGAGACGAGCUUGAGCAAAGCCCGAAUGCACCGAACUGGUUCCCUCCAUGGACAACAAAAUCAUGAGAGGUGACCUGCGCGUUAGCCAAUCUUAGUGAGAUGGGCCAGUGCCACAACCACAGCAAUUUAUCAGUCUAAUCAUAAAAAGGCGAUGGGAAUAAAUAAAUGUGUAAACCAUACUGUAUAGGAGGGCACAGUAUUAGUUGAAUUGAGAGGGCUCAGAUUCGCCUUUGAUAGAUAAUACAACCUAGCCCCACCCUCUUCAUUCACCAGAUCAACCCCCACCACUGAAGUCAAGCUCUGCUGGUUAUCACUCAACAGAAUGACCAUCCAAGACACAGCCAUCAAUAUUCGGUCAGAAUGAAAAGGUCACAAAAGAGGGGAGAGCGUGUUUUUUAUACACGCGGCUCCUCGAAUAAUCGAAGACAGGUUUAUUGUCAGCCAAGUUUGAUCACCAUCGCCCCUGAUAAAUAGAUCCCUUUGCGCAUAGCACAGUAUCAGCCUCCCUCCCUCCCUCCCUGGGGAGGAAGGGAGGGAGGCCUCCUAGUUUAACGACCAACUGUCUAACUGGGCAAAGUUGAAUGGAACCAACCUAGGAGAUGUGAAAGCAUCUCUAUCGCAGAAUACAUUGAAAGAUCUCCAACACCAAGGGGUGGAAAUCAUCAUAGCCACUCAGAAAAGAAUAAAACUCAUCAACACACAACGGAAACAAAUAUGCUGUGUUCAGAAGUUAAUUUGGAACACUGCACUGAUGGCCUUAUUACUGGCAAAAGAAAGCAAUUUACAUUUGUUCACUUCAGAAAAAAAGAGUCACUGCAAGCCAAAGAAGAACAGGAUAACAUAAACUUUCCAAAUUGUUCACUUCAGAAAGAAGGAGUAACUACAAGCCUAAUAAAAACAGGAUGACAUAAACUUCCCGUUUUGAAACAGAAGAAAAGCAUAAGUUCGCAAAAAGGGAUGCGUAUAAUUCGAACAGAAAACAGGAAAUGCAGCUUGCCCGUUUAUCCCAUGAAAAAUGGGGUUCUAAUGCUAAAUAGUCAGACAUGGAACAUUGAAUAGUGGCAAUACUUCCAACAUGAAACUGAACACCGGUCAGUCCAACCUCUGGCAAAAUGAAAGCAAAACCAAAGCAAGAAUACUGAAUAAAUUUUAAAAUGUAUAAUGAGAAGGGGUCCAACCGCCAACAUAUAAAUCCCAAAUGACCCAAGCAAAAGCUCCAGGAGAACAUUCAGUUAUGAUAAGACAAAAUAUAAGAGCCUUUUUAAUAAAUACACUUUUGCAGUUGAUAAAUUUACUUGACGCUCAUUUAGAAUCCGUGAAAGGGAUCUGUAACACGCUAAUGCAUCAGAAAUGUGGCAGUUAAUAUUGACAGCAGGAGCUAAAGAAUAGACUAAUUACCAAUGAACUAAAUAGCAUAGAGAAUCAUAACAAAAGGUCUGCUCUGACCUAAACAAAUACGAAGGUAAUCUGAGCUUCAAUUUACAAAAAACAGAGACAUAACAGCAAUCGUUAACCAGAUGAAUAGAACUGUCAAUAGCUACAAGCAUUGGAGGAAAAAAAGGGCAAUCGUUUGACUCAUAUAUAGUAUGUACAACUAGAAAGGCAAAAACGAUGCCAACUAGAAACCAACCCAAGUAAAGCUAGGGUGGUUUGGUUCGUCACCAAGAGAAGAUAUCAAUCCAGAUCCGGAUCUCACAUCAACACAAUAGAGAGGAAUAGAAAAUUAAAAACAAUGUAUAGUGGAGAAGAAAAAACUGAGUAUUUGUAGCGUAGCAAGAGGGCUCAGUUUUGACUUUCAUCUUGAAGCCCAACACUCAUGUCUCUUGCUGCAUAACCUAUCCAUCGCGAUGUAAUUUAACUGCCCUGGUUAUCACUCAUCAGAAUGACCAUCCGAGGCGCAGAACAUCCAACGUUAGCCAUGAAUUGAACAGGCUGCAAGAGAAGUAAGCGUCAGAGCUCUUAAGGGCAUCUCCAACGCCGGCACCCAUUUGGGGCCUAUUUAGUACCCACAUGCCAUGGCUGUCUUGAUUGCUCAACACAUAAUUAUUUCAGCCGCAGGCAUCAUCAUCGCCCUGUUUUUUUUAUAAAAAAAAGGUCAAACCCCCAAGCAACAUGACCAUAACAUCCAUCCAUCAAUCCAUCAUCCAUCCAUCCAUUCAUCCAUCAGACUAGCCAUAGCGGUGAGUAACUUAGACAAUCUCAGGAGCUGCUCAUACCUGGCCUUGACCGACCAAACCUCCCGGUGUGGACGACGCAUCAGACAACGCCUUACGGUUCCCAGCCACGCCACAACCAAAUCCAAGGCAAUGGACUGGCAGCGGCUGGCAGCACCGUAGAGACCGGGAACUGACAUGGCAGCCACCCGGACGAUGGGUCAGCGAGUCGGCAAUGAAAGCUUGACUGAUUUGUUUAAGGGAGAGAGAGAGAGAGAGAGAGAGAGAGAGAGAGAGAAAGGGGAUACAAGGAUCGUAAGCAAAAGAGGGCUCAGUUUUGCAUUUCAUCUUCAAACCCAACACUCACAUCUCUUGCUGCAUAAUCUACCCAUCACAAUGUAAGAGAACUGCCCUGGUUAUCACUCAUCAGAAUGACCGUCCAAGGUGCAGAACAUCCAACAUUACCGAUGAAUUGAACAGGCUGCAAGGGAGGUAAGGGUGGGCUCUAAUUUAGUACCCACGGGCCACAGCUGUCUUGAUUGCUCAAGACAUGCUUAUUUCAGCCACAGUCAUCAUCAUUGCCCCUCAUUUACCCAAAAGGAGGUUGUACCCCCAGCCUUUGCCAACCAAGCAAGAUGACCCUGAUAUCCAUACAUACAUACUCCCUCUGUAAAGAAAUAUAAGAGCGCUUAGAUCAUACUCCCUUCGUUUUUAAAUAUAAGCCUUUAUAGAGAUUCCAAUAUGGACUACAUACGGAGCAAAAUGAGUGAAUUUACAUGAAUGCACAUGUCCAUCCAUCCAUCCUCAUCAGCUACUCAUGCCUGGCGGUUCCCAGCCCACGUGAAUGCACAUGACCUACCAACCAAACCUGAUGACGCCCCAGAUAACACCUUACGGUUCCCAGCCCACGCCACAGCCAAAUCCAAGGCAAUGGAACGGCAGAGGCUGGCAGCACCGCAGCAGUGAACUGACACGGGCACCACCCAGACGAUUGGCCAGCGAGUUGGCAAUGAGAGCUCGACUGAUUUGGCUUAGGGUUAGGUACAUAGAGGGGUGGGGGUAUAUGUAGCAUAGCAAAAGAGGCUCAGUUUUGUCUUCCAUCUUCAAGCCCGACCCUCACCAUCUCUUGCUGCAUAAUCUACCCAUCACGAUGCAAGAGAACUGCCAUGGUUAUCACUCAACAGAAUGACCAUCUGAGGCACAAAGCAUCCAACAUCAGCGAUGAAUUGGACAGGCUGCAAGAGAGGCAAGGGUGGGCUCUAAGGCCAACUCCAACACAGACACCGAUUUUUUCAGCUCAGUUUAGUACCACCAUGCCACGGAUGUCUUGAUUGCUCAAGACAUGAUUAUUUCAGCCAUCAUCAUCAUCAUUGCCCCUCUUUUUUUUCUCCAAAAAGGAGGUUCGACACCCAUCCGGGCUGUGCACACCAAGCAACAUGACCAUGAUAUCCAUACAUACAUACUCCCUCCAUUCCAAAAUGUACUCCCUCCGUCCCAAAAUAGGAGUCGUGGUUUUAGUUCACGACACAUGAAUGCAUCCAUCCAUCCUGCUCAGGAGCUGCUCAUGCCUGGCCUCGACCGACCAAACCUCCCGGCUCAAACGACGCAUCAGACAACAGAGCACGGUUCCGGCCCACGCCACAACCGAAUACAAGGCAAUGGAACGGCGGUGGCUGGCGGCUCCGUAGCAGUGUGGAACUGAUGCAGCUGCCACCGGGACGAUGGUCGAUGGGUCAGCGAUCAGGCAACGAGAGCUCGCCUGAUUGGGUUUCGGGUUAGGGUUUACUGGUGUGAACUCGGCGCGCGCGAGCGCACACAGAGCGAGCGAGUGUGAGUCAGAGAGAGAGAGAUGGGGAUAGUAUACCGAAUCCAAAGCAACAUGAUUAUGCCGAGUCCAUCGACGGCGGCUCAGAUCCCGCGGCGGCCCGACCAAGCCCUCGACCGGAG